GGUUCUAUGGUGUAGUUGGUUAUCACAUGUCCUUAACACGGACAAGGUCUCCAGUUCAAUCCUGGAUGGAAUCA
rnacentral:tRNA from 3 species